GAGAGAGAGAGAGAGAGAGAGAGAGAGAGAGAGAGAGAGAGAGAGAGAGAGCAACAGUAUGAAACACCGGUGUUAUAUACACAGCCAUUAAUGAAAUAAUAUAGACUAGAAGAAUUAUCUAAUCUAACGCAUAACAUUGGAAGAUUGUCCACUCCCAGUUCAUUCCUUUAGCCACCGGUUUGUUUCAGCUUUUUAAAGCAAAAUCACUACUGCAUUUGCUGCCAGGAAAAACAAAUAUUUCAAGGUAAUAUAUAUUUUAAUUUGAAUUUUGAAAGGCGUCU